rnacentral:rRNA from 1 species
GACGAACGCUGGCGGCGUGCUUAACACAUGCAAGUUGAACGGUCCGGCAUGGAAGCUUGCUGAAGUGUCGGGUAGUAGCGGACGGGUGAGUAAUGCAUGAGAAGCUGCCAUUGGGAGGGGGACAACAGUUGGAAACGGCUGCUAAUACCCCAUAUGCCGGAAGGUGAAACGGAGUGAUCCGCCCGAUGAGGUGCUCAUGUCCUAUCAGCUAGUUGGUGAGGUAACGGCUCACCAAGGCGACGACGGGUAGCCGGCCUGAGAGGGUGACUGGCCACACUGGAACUGGGAUACGGUCCAGACUCCUACGGGAGGCAGCAGUGGGGAAUAUUGGGCAAUGGGGGCAACCCUGACCCAGCGACGCCGCGUGAGGGAAGACGGCCUUCGGGUUGUAAACCUCUUUUGUACGGGAAGAAGGACGUGACGGUACCGUGCGAAUAAGUCCCGGCUAACUACGUGCCAGCCGCCGCCGUAAAAC